rnacentral:rRNA from 1 species
GAUGAACGCUAGCUACAGGCUUAACACAUGCAAGUCGAGGGGCAGCAUUGGAGUAGCAAUACUUCAGAUGGCGACCGGCGCACGGGUGAGUAACACGUAUCCAACCUGCCGCUUACUCGGGGAUAGCCUUUCGAAAGAAAGAUUAAUACCCGAUGGUAUAAAGAGUUCGCAUGUUCUCUUUAUUAAAGAAUUUCGGUAAGCGAUGGGGAUGCGUUCCAUUAGAUAGUUGGCGGGGUAACGGCCCACCAAGUCUACGAUGGAUAGGGGUUCUGAGAGGAAGGUCCCCCACAUUGGAACUGAGACACGGUCCAAACUCCUACGGGAGGCAGCAGUGAGGAAUAUUGGUCAAUGGACGCGAGUCUGAACCAGCCAAGUAGCGUGAAGGAUGACUGCCCUAUGGGUUGUAAACUUCUUUUCUGUCAGAAGAAUAAGCUUGUCGAGACGAGUGAUGCCGGUAUGACAGGAAUAAGCAUCGGCUAACUCCGUG